GAUGAUCGCUAGCGGCAGGCCUAAUACAUGCAAGUCGAACGGUGUCUUCGGACAUAGUGGCGCACGGGUGCGUAACACGUAUGCAACCUACCUUACAUUGGGGGAUAGCCUUUCGAAAGGGAGAUUAAUACCGCAUAAGACAGUAGCUGGGCAUCCAGCAGCUGUUAAAGAUUUAUCGAUGUAAGCUGGGCAUGCGUCCAAUUAGCUGGUUGGUGAGGUAACGGCUCACCAAGGCAAUGAUUGGUAGGGGAACUGAGAGGUCAAUCCCCCACAAGGGCACUGGGAGACGGGCCAGACUCCUACGGGAGGCAGCAGUAGGGAAUAUUGGGCAAUGGACGCAAGUCUGACCCAGCCAUGCCGCGUGCAGGAUGAAGGCGUUAUGCGUUGUAAACUGCUUUUAUACAGGAAGAAACGACUCUUGCGAGAGGCAUUGACGGUACUGUAUGAAUAAGCACCGGCUAACUCCGUGCCAGCCGCCGCCGUAAUAC
rnacentral:rRNA from 1 species